UACGUAGGGACCAAGCGUUGUUCGGAUUUACUGGGCGUAAAGGGCGCGUAGGCGGCGCGGUAAGUCACUUGUGAAAUCUCUGAGCUUAACUCAGAACGGCCAAGUGAUACUGCAGUGCUAGAGUGUGGAAGGGGCAAUCGGAAUUCUUGGUGUAGCGGUGAAAUGCGUAGAUAUCUAUCGGAACGCCGAAGGAGAAGUCAGGCCGCUGGGCUUGUUCUGACGCUGAGGUACGAAAGCGUGGGGAGCAAACGGG
rnacentral:rRNA from 1 species